rnacentral:rRNA from 1 species
AGAGUUUGAUCCUGGCUCAGAUUGAACGCUGGCGGCGUGCUUAACACAUGCAAGUCGUGCGAGAAAGGGGACUUCGGUCCCUGAGUAGAGCGGCGCACGGGUGAGUAACGCGUGGAUAAUCUACCCAGAUGUUCGGGAUAACGGUGGGAAACUGCCGCUAAUACCGGAUACGAUCCAAUUUCGGUUGGAUGAAAGGCGGCCUCUGCUUGCAAGCUGUCGCAUCUGGAUGAGUCCGCGUCCCAUUAGCUUGUUGGUGGGGUAAUGGCCUACCAAGGCUACGAUGGGUAACUGGUCUGAGAGGAUGAUCAGUCACACUGGAACUGAAACACGGUCCAGACUCCUACGGGAGGCAGCAGUGGGGAAUAUUGCGCAAUGGGGGAAACCCUGACGCAGCGACGCCGUGUGAGGGAAGAAGGCUUUCGGGUC